rnacentral:rRNA from 1 species
GACGAACGCUGGCGGCGUGCUUAACACAUGCAAGUCGAACGGAAAGUCCCUGCUUUUGUGGGGUGCUCGAGUGGCGAACUGGUGAGUAACACGUGAGUAACCUGCCCUUGACUUUGGGAUAACUUCAUGAAACUUGGGCUAAUACCGGAUAGGAGCUCCUGCUGCAUGGUGGGGGUUGGAAAGUUUCGGCGGUUGGGGAUGGACUCGCGGCUUAUCAGCUUGUUGGUGGGGUAGUGGCUUACCAAGGCUUUGACGGGUAGCCGGCCUGAGAGGGUGACCGGACAAAUUGGGACUGAGAUACGGCACAGACUCCUACGGGAGGCAGCAGUGGGGAAUAUUGCACAAUGGGCGGAAGCCUGAUGCAGCAAAGCCGCGUGCGGGAUGACGGCCUUCGGGUUGUAAACCGCUUUCGCCUGUGACGAAGCGUGAGUGACGGUAAUGGGUAAAGAAGCACCGGCUAACUACGUG